AUUGAACGCUGGCGGCAGGCUUAACACAUGCAAGUCGAACGAGUGGCGGACGGGUGAGUAAUGCCCGGGAAACUGCCUGACGGAGGGGGAUAAUAACCUGAAACGGUAGAUAAUACCGCAUUCCAUCGGACGUGCCCAGAUGGGUUGAGCUAGUGGGUGGGGUAAAGGCUCACCUAGGCAACGAUCCCUAGCUGGUCUGAGAGGAUGACCAGCCACCCUGGAACGGAGAGACGGUCCAGACUCCUACGCGAGGCAGCGGUGGGGAAUAUUGCACAAUGGGCGCAAGCCUGAUGCAGCCAUGCCGCGUGUAUGAAGAAGGCCUUCGGGUUGUAAAGUACUUUCAGCUGGGAAGCGUUACCCGCAGAAGAAGCACCGGCUAACUCCGUGCCAGCAGCCGCGGUAAUUC
rnacentral:rRNA from 1 species